AUGGAUUUGGUGCUGAUUUGGGUUUUCCUUGUUGCUUUUUUAAAAGGUGUCCAGACUGAGGAGCAGCUUGUGGAGUCUGGAGGAGGCCUGGUGAAGCCUGGGGGAUCCCUGAGGCUAUCCUGUCUAGCCUCUGGAUUCACUUUCAGUGACUACUGGAUGGACUGGGCUCGCCAAGCUCCAGGGAAGGGGCUGGAGUGGGUUGGGGAGAUUAAUAAAGACAGCAAUACUAUAAGAUAUGCACCAUCUGUAAUGGAUCGAUUCACCAUCUCCAGAGACAAUUCCAAGAACACUCUGUACCUGUACCUGCAAAAUAAUCAAUGUGAGAUCUGA